rnacentral:misc_RNA from 1 species
AAAGUCGUAACAAGGUUUCCGUAGGUGAACCUGCGGAAGGAUCAUUACCUCUUGCCCGCGGCCCCGCUUCGGCGGGGCCCGUCUAGGCAAACCACCCGUGUCUAUGGUACCUGUCCGUCCAUCCCUCGGCGGGGAGACUCGCCGCUGGGACCCCCAACCAAACCCUUGCAUGCAAGCAUCCUACCUUCUGAAUCAAAAUCAAAUCAUCACAACUUUCAACAAUGGAUCUCUUGGUUCUG